rnacentral:rRNA from 1 species
AGAGUUUGAUCCUGGCUCAGGAUNAACGCUAGCUACAGGCUUAACACAUGCAAGUCGAGGGGCAUCAGUUUGGUUUGCUUGCAACCAAAGCUGGCGACCGGCGCACGGGUGAGUAACACGUAUCCAACCUGCCUCAUACUCGGGGAUAGCCUUUCGAAAGAAAGAUUAAUAUCCGAUAGCAUAUAUUUCCCGCAUGGGUUUUAUAUUAAAGAAAUUCGGUAUGAGAUGGGGAUGCGUUCCAUUAGUUUGUUGGCGGGGUAACGGCCCACCAAGACUACGAUGGAUAGGGGUUCUGAGAGGAAGGUCCCCCACAUUGGAACUGAGACACGGUCCAAACUCCUACGGGAGGCAGCA